AUGGAUAUUCUGGUGGUUAUAAUGCUUUGGCACCUCAACCUGGUUAUUCUCAGCCGGCAACAAAUCCCCAAACCGGGUAUGAUCAACAGGGAUAUGGCUCAACUCCUGGCUAUGGAACAGUAGCCAACCCAUCUCAAGAUGGGUCUGCCUCUGCUUAUGGUGCUCAGAGUGGGUCUACUCAAGCACCUCCAACGCAACAAGCUCCACCAAGUCAGCCUUCUGCUACCCAAGGGUACACAGGUCAACCACCAAGUAAUACCACUGCGAGCUAUCCUACCCAAGGAUCUACACCAUCAGCAUAUGGCAUUCCCCCGACAUCACAGCCAGGUUAUGGGAGUCAGCCCCCUGCUCUGACUGGAUAUGGUCAGGCACCACCACCUAGUUAUGGACAGCCUUCUCCGGUCCAGAAAUCACCAGCUACUCAAUAUGGACAAGGUCAACAAAGUGUGUCCACUCAAGCUGGCUAUAUUCAGACUGCUACUGCACAACCAGGAUAUGGUCAAC
rnacentral:lncRNA from 1 species